rnacentral:piRNA from 1 species
UAAGACUGCAAAUGGGAAUUCAGAGAAGC